rnacentral:rRNA from 1 species
UACGGGGGGGGCAAGCGUUGUUCGGAAUUACUGGGCGUAAAGGGCUCGUAGGCGGCCAACUAAGUCAGACGUGAAAUCCCCAGGCUCAACCUGGGAACUGCGUCUGAUACUGGAUGGCUUGAAUCCGGGAGAGGGAUGCAGAAUUCCAGGUGUAGCGGUGAAAUGCGUAGAUAUCUGGAGGAAUACCGGUGGCGAAGGCGGCAUCCUGGACCAUAACUGACGCUGAGGCGCGAAAGCUAGGGGAGCAGACGGG